rnacentral:rRNA from 1 species
GAUGAACGCUAGCGGCAGGCUUAAUACAUGCAAGUCAAGGGGUCAGCAAUGGCACCGGCGGACGGGUGAGUAACGCGUACACAACGUACCUUUAACUGGGGGAUAGCAUCUGGAAACGGGUGGUAAUACCGCAUGUGGUUGCGAGGAGGCAUCUCUUUGUAACUAAAACUUAGGUGGUUAGAGAUCGGUGUGCGUCUGAUUAGCUAGUUGGUAGGGUAGAGGCCUACCAAGGCGACGAUCAGUAGGGGGCGUGAGAGCGUGAACCCCCACACGGGUACUGAGACACGGACCCGACUCCUACGGGAGGCAGCAGUAAGGAAUAUUGGUCAAUGGAGGGAACUCUGAACCAGCCAUGCCGCGUGAAGGAAGAAGGCCCUAGGGUUGUAAACUGCUUUUAUACGUGAAGAAUAUGACGGUAACGUAUGAAUAAGGAUCGGCUAACUCCGUG